rnacentral:rRNA from 1 species
CCCUUAGAUGUUCUGGGCUGCACGCGCGCUACACUGAUGCGCUCAACGAGUUUAUGACCUUGCCCGGAAGGGUUGGGUAAUCUUUUUAAAACGCAUCGUGAUGGGGAUAGAUUAUUGCAAUUAUUAAUCUUCAACGAGGAAUUCCUAGUAAGCGCGAGUCAUCAGCUCGUGCUGAUUACGUCCCUGCCCUUUGUACACACCGCCCAUCGCUCCUACCGAUUGAGUGAUCCGGUGAAUAAUUCGGACUGCAGCAGUGUUCAGUUCCUGAACGUUGCAGCGGAAAGUUUAGUGAACCUUAUCACUUAGAGGAAGGAGAAGUCGUAACA